GACAGCAGUAGCCACGGUAAUACGAAGGGGGCUAGCGUUGUUCGGAAUUACUGGGCGUAAAGCGCACGUAGGCGGAUAUUUAAGUCAGGGGUGAAAUCCCGCAGCUCAACUGCGGAACUGCCUUUGAUACUGGGUAUCUUGAGUAUGGAAGAGGUUAGUGGAAUUGCGAGUGUAGAGGUGAAAUUCGUAGAUAUUCGCAGGAACACCAGUGGCGAAGGCGGCUAACUGGUCCAUAACUGACGCUGAGGUGCGAAAGCGUGGGGAGCAAACAGGAUUAGAUACCCCAGUAGUCCCUGUCUCUUAUAC
rnacentral:rRNA from 1 species